UGAAUGUUUGUUACGAAAUUUGACAUGGACUUUAUCCCUAUCUAAUGUAUCCCUCACUAAAACCCUCAUAAAAUUCAUUAGCCAAAACUGAAUUAUUUCCCCCUCAUUUAUUUUCCCAUUUUCGUUUUUCCCUCCUCUCAUACCAAAAUAUUCCCCCUCUUUUUUUGACUCACAAACCCCAAAAUAAUUAUCCCACAAAUUCAUACUCACAAACUCAAGAUGAACUCAAUAUUCACAAACCCAAAACUCAUCUUCAAAACUUUCCAGUUCCAAACACUCAAGAUGAACCCAAACCUUAAAAUAAACUUAACCCAAAAUUUUCCCCAAACACUCAAUCACUCUCUCAGAUGAACAAAACUUCCCAAGCUUCUCGAUCACUAUUGGAAUCGCAAACUUCACAGUCGGAAUCGCAAGCUUCUCAAUCACUCUUUCCUCUCACUGAAUCGCUCUUUCCUCUCUUAUCUUCUCAGUUGGAAUUACUCUUUUAUUCUCAGUUGGAAUCACUUAAUCGCUCUUCUCAGUCCAAAAUCUCACGGUCAGAUUUUUGCUCUGUCAGAUUUUUACUAAUUCAUGUGUUUAAUUUGUAGAUUCUUCUGAAUUUGAAGCUGAAUUUCUCCUCUGGGUGCUCAUACUCUCACAACAAAGAUUUUCACUGAAUCUCACUCCCAAAAUCGAAUCUUCUUCCUUCUCCCUAAAUUCUUUCUCAAAUCUUUAGUGAAUCUAAGAAUCACGCCCUCUUUGCUUGGUGGUUUCUUAGUUAAAGACAAAUUAAUCGUAAAUGAUUAAGAUCUAGCUGUUAGUCAUUGUUGCUGCUGCAGUAGGUGUGUGUAUUGCUGCUUGCAUUUUUAGCUGCAGUGUUGCGUGGAAGAAGUCUGCGUUUUUGCAGCUGCUGCUGCUAUUAUUUGGUGUGCGCAUCAGCUGCUGAUGUGUUUGGUUUAUGCUGAUUGCGGCUCUGUUCUUCUGUGUGGGGUGGCAGCCUUGAUUUUCUAUUGUUUUUUCUUGCUGGUUGGGUUUUUUUUUCUCGGUGCAUAGGUUGUGAGGCAGGGAUAUUGUAACGCCCUCUUUGAAUUAUUUAAUUAUUUAAUUGAGUAUAGAAUUUAUUAA